rnacentral:tRNA from 1 species
UUUGAGGUUGACACCCUGGCGUUCCUAGCUCGUCGGGCUCAUAACCCGAAGGUCGUCGGUUCAAAUCCGGCUCCCGCAACCA